GCACUACUGAGGAGUCCCACAAUAGGACGAAACGGCCGUCCGGUGC
rnacentral:hammerhead_ribozyme from 1 species